rnacentral:lncRNA from 1 species
GCUCCCUUCGCCGCGCCUCGCGUGCUAGCGGUGCCCUUGUGAGCCACUGCGUUCUCCAAGGCCAGAACGGGACAGAUGGAGAAAUUGAGAUGAGAGCUCAUCCACAAGAUUACCCAUCAAUGAGCACCAAUAGCAACCAAAUCCACUAGAAGACUGGGAGCUUUUAAGUCAAGAAACUUACAUCAGUAUCAUCAUUCCAAGAAGCGGUAUCCAAGCUGUUUUAUCGAAAGUGCGCAUGGGAGAUAAGACUCUGAGAAUUUAUAGAAACAAACAUUAGAAGGCAGGAAUGUGGAGAGAAGAAAGCUACCUGACAAGGGAAUCUCAGGAUACAAGGAAAACACCAAGGUGAAGACACUUAAAGAAGGUGACAUAUGACCACAAGAAUUAAGAACAAACAGGGAAACAUGAUAUCACAAGAAAAAAAUAUGAAGCCAGUGACUAACC